UACGUAGGGUGCGAGCGUUAAUCGGAAUUACUGGGCGUAAAGCGUACGCAGGCGGCUAUGCAAGACAGGUGUGAAAUCCCCGGGCUUAACCUGGGAAUGGCGUUUGGGACUGGGAGUCUGGAGUACGGCAGAGGAGACUGGAAUUCCUGGUGUAGCAGUGAAAUGCGUAGAUAUCAGGAGGAACACCGAUGGCGAAGGCAGGUCUCUGGGCUGAUACUGACGCUCAUGCACGAAAGCGUGGGGAGCAAACAGG
rnacentral:rRNA from 1 species